rnacentral:rRNA from 1 species
AUUGAAUGCUGGCGGCAGGCCUAACACAUGCAAGUCGAACGAGUGGCGGACGGGUGAGUAAUGUCUGGGAAACUGCCCGAUGGAGGGGGCUAACUACUGGAAACGGUAGCUAAUACCGCAUACCAUCGGAUGUGCCCAGAUGGGAAUAGCUAGUGGGUGGGGUAACGGCGCACCUAGGCGACGAUCCCUAGCUGGGCUGAGAGGAUGACCAGCCACACUGGAACUGAGACACGGUCCAGACUCCUACGGGAGGCAGCAGUGGGGAAUAUUGCACAAUGGGCGCAAGCCUGAUGCAGCCAUGCCGCGUGUAUGAAGAAGGCCUUCGGGUUGUAAAGUACUUUCAGCGAGGAGGCGUUACUCGCAGAAGAAGCACCGGCUAACUCCGUGCCAGCAGCCGCGGUAAUAC